rnacentral:misc_RNA from 1 species
GAUGAAGAACGCAGCGAAAUGCGAUAAGUAAUGCGAAUUGCAGAAUUCAGUGAAUCAUCGAAUCUUUGAACGCACAUUGCGCCCGUCAGUAUUCUGGCGGGCAUGCCUGUUCGAGCGUCAUUACGCCCCUCAAGUCCCCUGUGGACUUGGUGUUGGGUGACUGUCCGCCGCCUCCGGGCGGUCGGACUCGCCUCAAAUUGAUUGGCGGCCGGUACUUUGGCUUCGAGCGCAGCAGAAACGCGAACUCGAGGCCGUCGUCCUGGCUCCCAGAAGCCAUCUUCACAAUUUUGACCUCGGAUCAGGUAGGGAUACCCGCUGAACUUAAGCAUAUCAAUAAGCGGAGGA